rnacentral:rRNA from 1 species
UACGAAGGGUGCAAGCGUUAAUCGGAAUUACUGGGCGUAAAGGGUGCGUAGGCGGUUCGUUAAGUCUGUUGUGAAAUCCCCGGGCUCAACCUGGGAAUGGCAAUGGAUACUGGCGGGCUAGAGUGUGUCAGAGGAUGGUGGAAUUCCCGGUGUAGCGGUGAAAUGCGUAGAGAUCCGGAGGAACACCAGUGGCGAAGGCGGCUGGCUGGACCUGACCUGACGCUGAGGCGCGAAGGCGUGGGGAGCGAACGGG